AGGUGUCAAUGACUGCACAAGUAGGGCAAUGGCAAAUCAGACACAAUCAUGCUGGCACUUGGAAAGAGGCAGAUAAGAGGAAAGAGUUUGUUUUUCUAGGCACAGAGACAUGAAUCUGAAAGAAGUGCCCUGUAAAGGGAUCCAGUAACGGAGGAAGGUUAGAUCCUGCUCAUCCAUUCACCUUAGGAGUGUCUGGCUCUGGUGGUCACUAAGAACCUAAACCAAAGUCCACUGAAGACAAUGAGGAUCAGGACUCAGCAGAACUGCUUUUUUGGAGUCCAAGGUGUUCAUUCUAAAACCCAGCAGGGCAAAAUUUUCACACGGCAAAACUCUGAUGCACAAUCAGCUGUUUCCCAAAUAGAUAAAAUGGACUCAAAUGUAACAUCUCAACCAUGCUCUCUGUAGAAUCAACUCAUUUCUCUCCUGUGGCUUAUUUUGCCUGUAAAAUUGACAAAUAAUAGAAAAUGCACCUCAAGGGGAUUUCAGCCCAAUGAAAGGGUAAAAACUACUUGAGGCA